CCGCUAUUGGAGUUCGAUUAAGCCAUGCGAGUCGAGAGUCCUCGGGACUCGGCGUACCGCUCAGUAACACGUGGGUAACCUGCCCUAUGCUGGGGAAUAACCUCGGGAAACUGAGAAUAAUGCCCCAUAGCCCACUACGCCUGGAACGGUGAGUGGGUCAAAGCUCCGGCGGCAUAGGAUGGGCCUGCGCCGUAUCAGGUUGUAGGGGGUGUAAAGUACCCUCUAGCCAUCAACGCGUACGGGUGUUGGGAGACAUUGCCCGGAGAUGGAUUCUGAGACACGAAUCCAGGCCCUACGGGGUGCAGCAGGCGCGAAAACUUGGCAAUGCGAGCAAUCGUGACCAGGGAACUCCAAGUGCGUAGGGUAAGACCUACGCUUUUCUUGACUCUUCAAAGGUCUUGGAAUAAGGGGUGGGUAAGGACGGUGCCAGCCGCCGCGGUAAUACCGGCGCCUCAAGUGGUAGUCGCUCUUAUUGGGCCUAAAACGUCCGUAGCCGGUCUGGUGCAUUCGUGGGUAAAUCAACCCGCUCAACGGGUUGAAUUCUGCGAGCACGGCCAGACUUGGGACCGGGAGAGGUGUGGGGUACUCUCAGGGUAGGGGUAAAAUCCUGUCAUCCUGAGAGGACCACCUGUUGCGAAGGCGCCACACUAGAACGGAUCCGACGGUCAGGGACGAAACCUAGGGGCACGAACCGGAUUAGAUACCCGGGUAGUCCUAGGUGUAAACGCUGUGGACUUGAUGUUGGGGGCGCUCCGAGCGCUCUCAGUGUCGAAGCGAAGGUGAUAAGUCCACUGCCUGGGGAGUACGGUCGCAAGGCUGAAACUUAAAGGAAUUGGCGGGGGAGCACUGCAACCUGAGGAUUGUGCGG
rnacentral:rRNA from 1 species